rnacentral:lncRNA from 10 species
CAGGAGGAUUUGCUUUCCGAUGUGUAGUAGCGGUACAGGAAACCUAAGAGAACAGCGCCUAUGAUGGGUAAAAUCCAAUAUGCCCAGCAACUAGGAAUAGGGGGAGAAAGCAAUAAAGUUGUUAAUAUUUUAAGCCAAAUGUUCACUAUCUUUCAGCUUUCACAUGUUUUUAUAUAGGCAAGGAGUUUUUAUUUACUUUGGGAAAUUUAACUGCUUUUAUCACAAAGUAGUUGGGGAAAAAUAUUUGAAUUGGAGUGACAAUAUUACAAAGUAAUUUUUUAAAAGGUUAAAAACAACCAAUAGUAUGAUAUCAAAUAAGAUGUCUUUAAAUGCCUCUAUAUGUGUUUCUACAAAGUCAUAUAGUGGUUAUUUCUGAGUUAGGGAUUAUGGAUACUCUCACAUUUUCUUCAUUGUGCUUUUGCUUUUCACGUAUUCUACAAUUAAACAUUUUUAAACAGGAAAAAACACCAUUAUGUAUGUGACAUUUCAUAUAUGUAUAAAAACAUAUCCAUCCCAAUAUAAAUUUGGAAGUAAUCAUAUCUAAUAUAACUACCAGAAAUAUCCUAUCUGCUUCAUAUGUAUUUUAAAGAUUUAAUCCUUAUGAAAUAGGAUAACCUACGAAAUAGGGUUAUUAUUCUCAUCUCAUACAAGGGAAAUAUAAGCUUUGCACCCCAAAUCCCAAAGCUAGAAAGGCAGCUGGACAGUCUGAUUCCAAACCCAUCCUCUUAAUCCCUAGUUAAGUUUGGACACUAAUAAGGAUACACAUACACACAAAGCAUAUACAGUUCUAACAGGGUGAAGCAAAUGGCAGCUUCAAAAGUACUGCAAGAGACCUUCCUUAGGAGCUUCAGAACAGUCAUCAUUCUCCUUAACAUAAUAAUUCUUUAAUAGAACUUAUUAGCACACUAGUUUUAAGGUAUAAUUCUUCCAUGAUCCAAAUGACCCGGCUGCCCCUCUACUUAAGACAUAUGAGUCUUGGUAUUAAAAGGUUUUGAAGUCAAUAAAACGAGCUGAAGUUCAUAAGAAAAAUGAUUCUCUUUGCCUAAACAUGCCUAGCACUCUGUAUGCUUACGUACAGCAGAAAGCUACUCUGGACUAGUUUAGAAUAUCAGCCAGGUAGCUUUGUUUACAAAACCAAGCAAUAUGGCACGUAUAACAGCAAUAUGCACAUGGGAACUCUGAAGUAAUCUCCUGAUAAGAGUAAUGAAUUCAGACUCCUUGAAGAGUAACCGCAAGAGACUGAAGAAUCCAAAAGUAGGAUCCUUGAGAAAACAUUGAAGGAGAAAAUUUCUUUCUUUCUUUCUUUUUUUUUUUUUUGAGACGGAGUCUCAUUGUCACCCAGGCCGGAGUGCGGUGGCGCGAUCUUGGCUCACUGCAAGCUCCACCUCUGGGGUUCACGCCAUUCUUCUGUCUCAGCCCGUCCUCGUGAUCCACCCACCUCGGCCUCCCAGUUUGCUGAGACUACAGGCAUGAGCCACCACGCCGGCCAGAAAAUUUCUUUAGUACAAAAGACUGAGAAUGGUUGACACCAAUCCUCACAUAAUCUUUCCUAAUACUUAACUGCCACUGAGGAGAGAACCAGAGGAAAUACAUUUAUACUGCAUCACAGGAGAUUCAGGUUCAACAAUAACUUCCUACCAUAAGACAGAUUUUUCUUCUUGGAGAUCCAUCUAGACUACUACAUGUUUGUGAUUCCUUUAUUUUUAUUGUUUUGUAGUAUUCCAUUGUAUGAAUAUACCACAAUUUAUUAGGGUUGUCUCUGAUGUUUGAAUAUCUCGAAUAACACUGCUAUGAACAUUCUUGCAUAUAUUUCUGGGUGUACCUGGGCACACAUUUCUAUCAAGUAUAUCAUUAGAAAUGGAAUUGCUGGGUCAAAAGUUAAGUCAUCCUAUCAAAUUUACUAGAUAAUGCCAAACUGUUUUCCAAAGUGAUUAUACUCAUUUACAUUACCCUAGGAGUGCUUAAGAGUCGGUGAUAAACUUUCCAACCAACUCUUAUUUGCAAAAUUUUUAAUUUUUACCAAUCUGGUUAGGUAUGAAAUAUACCUAUGAUUUUAAUUCACAUAUCACUAAUGAUGAAUGAGAUUAAACCUCAUUUCCAUAUGUUUACAUUUGUGUUUCCUUUUCUGUAAAGUGCUUAAAUCUUUUUCUCAUAUUCUACUGAGGUUUUAAAAAACUGAUUUGUAGGAAUUCUUUAUAUCUUCUACCUAAUAAUUCUUUAUCAGUUUUAUGCUUUGCUUAAGUCUAAGUUUUAUAGCAUAAGCAUAAGGUUUGGUUUUUUUUUUUGAGAUGGAGUUUCGUUCUCGUUGCCCAGGCUGGAGUGCAAUGGAGCGAUCUUGGCUCACUGCAACCUCCACCUCCCAAGGUUCAAGCGAUUCUCCUGCCUUGGCCUCCCAAAGCUCGCACCACCAUGCCCAGCUAAUUUUGUAUUUUUAGCAGAGAUGGGGUUUCGCCAUGUUGUCCAGGCUGGUCUCGAACUCCUGACCUCAUGAUCCACCCGCCUCAGCCUCCCAAAGUGCUGGGAUUACAAGCGUGAGCCACCGCGCCCGGCCCUGCAUAAGCAUAAGUUUUGUUUAAAAUCUGCAAUUUUGUGGCUUGUAUUUUCAAAAUUUUUAUGCAGCAUUUCGCUGAUCCUAAGCCCUUAAUAUUAAGGAAACUAAAUUUACUAAUAGUUUGUAAUUUUUUAUACUGUGUCCGUUACCUCAAGUAAUAGAUCUGAUACUUUAUGGGAAAAAAAGACAUAUUUUCUUUCUCUGAAAUACUUCGAGAUGUCCAAAAAAUAGAAUGGCUAGCUCUAUAUAAUCUCCACAAAGAUACUGUACAAGCCAAGGAUUCCACAGUCAUUUUAGAUAGAGGCACUUAAGGUAAGGCAAUUUAUAACUUUCAGAGCUAAUACUAAUGAAUUACUAAUAUUAAUGCCAAGGAAUAUAUUGUAAAUAAACCUGAGAAAACCCAAAUUCCUAAAUAUGACCGUAGUAUUUUUUUCUCCUGCAAUAUGUAAUAAUAGCACUUACCUUACAGAGUGG